CGCACGGCGCACGGGUGCGUAACACGUGGGUAACCUGCCCUUUGGUGGGGAAUAACCUCGCGAAAGCGAGGCUAAUUCCGCAUAAGAUCCGCAAGGAUGAAAGCCGCAAUGCGCCGAAGGAGGGGCCCGCGCACGAUUAGUUAGUUGGUAGGGUAACGGCCUACCAAGACUAUGAUCGUUAGCUGGUCUGAGAGGAUGGCCAGCCACACUGGAACUGAGACACGGUCCAGACUCCUACGGGAGGCAGCAGUGGGGAAUCUUGCGCAAUGGGCGAAAGCCUGACGCAGCGACGCCGCGUGGGGGAUGAAGCUUCUCGGAGUGUAAACCCCUUUCGACUGGGACGAAUACCUCGCAAGA
rnacentral:rRNA from 1 species